AGUGAACGCUGGCGGUAGGCCUAACACAUGCAAGUCGAACGGCAGCACAGUAAGAGCUUGCUCUUACGGGUGGCGAGUGGCGGACGGGUGAGGAAUACAUCGGAAUCUACUUUUUCGUGGGGGAUAACGUAGGGAAACUUACGCUAAUACCGCAUACGACCUACGGGUGAAAGCAGGGGAUCUUCGGACCUUGCGCGAUUGAAUGAGCCGAUGUCGGAUUAGCUAGUUGGCGGGGUAAAGGCCCACCAAGGCGACGAUCCGUAGCUGGUCUGAGAGGAUGAUCAGCGACACGGGAACUGAGACACGGUCCAGGCUCCUAGGGGAGGCAGCAGUGGGGAAUAUUGGACAAUGGGCGCAAGCCUGAUCCAGCCAUACCGCGUGGGUGAAGAAGGCCUUCGGGUUGUAAAGCCCUUUUGUUGGGAAAGAAAAGCAGCAGGUUAAUACCCCGCUGUUCGGACGGUACCCAAAGAAUAAGCACCGGCUAACUGCGU
rnacentral:rRNA from 1 species